UGAAUGUAUAUGGUCAUAUGACUAUCCCACUAAGGAUGAUAUAUAAUUCGGAAAUGAGAAUACCUGUUGGAGAACUCUCUUUAUACUGCACUAGGAGGAAUCCGACCCUCUGUUUUUGAAGACUCAAGGUAUUCACGAUCGCCUUCACCCGUCAAGCAUGGCUCGAGCCGUUCACAACCGUCUUCACAAAUCAGGUUGGUGUAUUGGUUUUUUGGGAGCAUACAAUGAAGACAUUUCUUUGCUGGGUGACGAUAAUAAGAUGAUCACAGCUGUGGCCUGUAGCCCGGAACUCCGACCAGGUUCCGGUCACCAAUAUUUUUUAUUUAAGUGUGACAAAGAUUAUUACGGAAAUAACUGGGUCAAUUUUUGAAAACUGUGACUAAAUAAAGACACGUGUUUUCUCUUAGAAUUGUUGCAAACGCAAUUUUUAACAAAAAUAAACGUUACAGAAAGUGUGUAAAUUGUGACU